rnacentral:rRNA from 1 species
UACGUAGGGUGCGAGCGUUGUCCGGAAUUAUUGGGCGUAAAGAGCUCGUAGGCGGCCUGUUACGUCUGCUGUGAAAGCCCGGGGCUCAACUCCGGGUCUGCAGUGGAUACGGGGCAGGCUAGAGUCCGGCAGGGGAGACUGGAAUUCCUGGUGUAGCGGUGAAAUGCGCAGAUAUCAGGAGGAAUACCGAUGGCGAAGGCAGCCAUCUGGCCUAACACUGACGCUGAGGUGCGAAAGCAUGGGGAGCAAACAGG